rnacentral:rRNA from 1 species
GUAAUGCCUAGGAAUCUGCCUAGUGGUGGGGGAUAACGUUCGGAAACGGACGCUAAUACCGCAUACGUCCUACGGGAGAAAGCGGGGGACCUUCGGGCCUCGCGCCAUUAGAUGAGCCUAGGUCGGAUUAGCUAGUUGGUGAGGUAAUGGCUCACCAGGGCGACGAUCCGUAACUGGUCUGAGAGGAUGAUCAGUCACACUGGAACUGAGACACGGUCCAGACUCCUACGGGAGGCAGCAGUGGGGAAUAUUGGACAAUGGGCGAAAGCCUGAUCCAGCCAUGCCGCGUGUGUGAAGAAGGUCUUCGGAUUGUAAAGCACUUUAAGUUGGGAGGAAGAGUAGUAACUUAAUACGUUGCUACUUUGACGUUACCGACAGAAUAAGCACCGGCUAACUUCGUGCCAGCAGCCGCGGUAAUACGAAGGGUGCAAGCGUUAAUCGGAAUUACUGGGCGUAAAGCGCGCGUAGGUGGUUCAGUAAGUUGGAAGUGAAAUCCCCGGGCUCAACCUGGGAACUGCUUUCAAAACUGCUGAGCUAGAGUACGGUAGAGGGUGGUGGAAUUUCCUGUGUAGCGGUGAAAUGCGUAGAUAUAGGAAGGAACACCAGUGGCGAAGGCGACCACCUGGACUGAUACUGACACUGAGGUG